CCUACGGGUGGCAGCAGUGAGGAAUAUUGGUCAAUGGACGCAAGUCUGAACCAGCCAAGCAGCGUGCAGGAAGACGGCCCUAUGAGUUGUAAACUGCUUUUGUACGAGGGUAAACGCAGAUACGCGUAUCUGUCUGAAAGUAUCGUACGAAUAAGGAUCGGCUAACUCCGUGCCAGCAGCCGCGGGAAUACGGAGGAUUCAAGCGUUAUCCGGAUUUAUUGGGUUUAAAGGGUGCGUAGGGGGGUGGUUAAGUUAGUGGUGAAAUCCCGGGGCUCAACUGCGGAAUUGCCUCUGAUACUGUUCGGCUAGGGAAUAGUUGCGGUAGGCGGAAUGUAUGGUGUAGCGGUGAACUGCUUAGAGAUCAUACAGAACACCGAUUGCGAGGGCAGCUUACCAAGCUACUUCUGACGUUGAGGCACGAAUGCGUGGGGGUCAAACAGGAUUGGGUACCCCGUAGUC
rnacentral:rRNA from 1 species